CCCAACCUCCCGGCUUUCUUGAACCCUCCCUCUUUCGCGAUGGCCAUGGCGCGAUCGGAGAGAAACCCUCGACGUCUUUCGCCCAAUCGAAACCCUAGGCCCCAAGAUCCCUUCGGUCUCCCUUCUCUCGCCGACAAGCCUUCAUCGUCGGAGAUCGGGAUAUCCGUCGCAACGCGAGGGUCCGGGAAUCAAAGAAUUUCUCCACGAGAAAAAAAGCCCUAAUCUCUUCCAGAUCUUGGCGCACCGAUUCGUCCAUUCUUCAUCUAGAAUUCGAAUCAAUGUUCUCCGCCCCAGUUAUGGCGGUUUCUUGUAGGUGCGACAUGAGCAGCUAAGUAUAUGGGCUCCCCGAUGCCCCCCUAAGAUAUUCUCUCAACGCUGCCAAGUCUGUACGAUGGCUGCUCUAUCAUGCCAUCCGGCAAUAGCAUGGUCCAACUUUACGAGAGAGGGUCCUGCAGGUGAUCUGGAUCCCAAUAAACUUGAUGCUGUUUUCAGUUAAAAAGGUGAUUCAUCUAUCCCCAAAAAUUUUAGGAACAUUUCUGCAGGAAUUGAUAAGCAGUUGUUUAUGCGUACCCUAGGUCUAAUGGCAUAAAGUUUGUUGUCUUUCUAACAUCCAUUGAAUAGUCAGAUCUGGCAAAUGUAUUUAUCCUCACAAUGCACAGUACUAUAUAGAAACAUCAAUCUUACGCAUCAAAAUACUUCAGAAACUUGAUAAAGCAACAAAAAGAAGAAAAAAAAAGACUUCAUCCUGCAUCCCCAGAUGCAUACUGCACAGGCUAGCCAUUUGUGAUUCUUAAAGAUUAGGAGAAUCAUUAAUUACAAAAGGUUAAUAAAAAGUAGGACCAGAGCCUAUAAAGAACCAUCAACACAUGACAAUGCUUAGGAGCAUGACCAGACACACUAUACCAGUAGCUAAGAACAAGAAUCCUUCCUCUAUUAAUGUCGAAAAACAAACUCAUAUUAUCUUGUAUAGAAUGAAGUAAUAGCUUGAUCACAGCAUGUACAAUUUCAUCAUGUAUAGCCCACCCCUC